rnacentral:rRNA from 1 species
GUCGGGGCUUCUUCUGCGAGUAACGUCAUUAUCCUCCUCGCUGAAAGAGCUUUACAACCCUAGGGCCUUCAUCACUCACGCGGCAUGGCUGGAUCAGGGUUGCCCCCAUUGUCCAAUAUUCCCC